rnacentral:rRNA from 1 species
UUACCCGCUGAACUUAAGCAUAUCAUUAAGCGGAGGAAAAGAAACUAACAAGGAUUCCCUUAGUAACGGCGAGUGAAACGGGAUGAGCCCAGCACCGAAUCCCUUUGCCGCAUGGUAUUUGGGACAUGUGGUGUUUGGGAGUGUCUUUGGCGCGUGGCAAGGUGUUUGAGUCCUCCUGAUUGGGGCUUGUCCCAGAGCGGGUGUAAGGCCUCUACAGCACCGAGCUGCGUGUCUAGGGCGCUCUCUGGAGUCGGGUUGUUUGAGAAUGCAGCCCUAAGUGGGUGGUAAACUCCAUCUAAGGCUAAAUACCGCUGCGAGUCCGAUAGCAAACAAGUACCGUGAGGGAAAGUUGAAAAGCACUUUGAAGAGAGAGUUGGAUAGUACGUGAAACCGUUUACAGGUAAACGGACGGGACCGUAAGGUCGGCCGCGGGGAUUCAGGUCUCUGGCGGCGGCUCGGCGUCUGUCUGGUGAUACCGCUUCGCGCGGAACGCCGGCGGGUGCUGUGGCUGUCGUCGGGGGCUGCAUUUUCUCGUGUGCUGAGCGUCACGACCGCCUGACUGGCAGUCAGAAGCACCUGGUCAUAGGUAGCCCGGAUCGGCAACGGUUUGGGAACUUAUAGGGCCGGGAGCGCUGUGCUGCUGGGCGGGUGAGGAACUCGGGUCGCGCCGUGUCGACUUGGUCACCGCUGGCUGUGGAGCGACUGUUGGGGACUGCUUGCAGUGCUCGGCGACCGCCGCGGCUAGGUCUGGUGUCUUGUUGCUCGGCGUCGAUGGGUCAGUGGCGUCUUCCAUCGGCACCCCGUCCGACCCGUCUUGAAACACGGACCAAGGAGUCUAACAUGUGCGCAAGUCAAAGGGUCUAUCGAAACCCCAAGGCGUAAUGAAAGUAAGACUUUAAGGUGCGAUCCGGGUCGCCUUUGAAGCACCGGCGCAGCACCGGCCCGUCGCUAGGCCUUCAAUGUNCGGCGGCGAGCU